rnacentral:misc_RNA from 1 species
UUAAGUUCAGCGGGUAUUCCUACCUGAUCCGAGGUCAACCUUGUAAGACUUGAAGUGCUUUAACGGCUGGUGUCGCCUGCUAAGCGCCCCAGAGCGAUGGUGUAAACUACUACGCUUAGGGUCUCAGCAGGCCCGCCACUUGCUUUCGGGGCUUGCCUUACGGCAAAAAGACCCCAACGCCCGGUCCCAUAGGGCCCGAG